rnacentral:sRNA from 2 species
GGACAGUCAUCGCCGAGUCCCCGUACGGCGCGAGCCAGGGGAGCCGGGGACCCACGCAGUCCCUGGGGUGAAUCGGACGCCCGCGCGCGAGCGAGGGGGUCCGUAGGAGACCUUCCUGCUCCGAACCCGUCAGCUAACCCGGUAGGCGAGAGGGAAGGAAAGG